rnacentral:misc_RNA from 1 species
GUGGGAGCUGGCUUGCCUGCGAUGGCGGUGUGUCAGUCACCGAAAAUGUUGGUGAUCUGCCGCUAUCGCAGGCAAGCCAGCUCCCAC